rnacentral:lncRNA from 1 species
UUUUUUGGUCAGAAAAGAUAAUAGAUAGAAAAUAAACAACCAUUACACUUUAGCGUUUAACGAAAGAGAAACUAGGGCAUCCGCCGCGAGCAAAGCUUGCAAAACAGGGGGAGGAAAAAGAGUCCAAUUUGGGGACAGAUCCGAUCGGCCAUGAGCUUUGGCCGCCCAGUCUGCGACGAAAUUGGCUCUCCUGUCACAGUGCUGCAGACGGAGAUUCAAGAAAAGGGGCAAGAUUGACUGGAUUUCGUCAAAGAGCGGGCGAUCCUCCCAUGGUGGCGGCCGUCGGUCGUGAAGGAUUUCAACCAAUUGCAAACAGUCCGAUUCGAGAACGAUUGAUGCGGUGAGAAGUCCCUGUUGUUUGAGUCGAUGUAGAGUUAGUGUUAGCGCCUGUGUUUCCGCUUGGAAAGCCGAAUUUGCUGGGAAUCUGGCCGCGUAGGCAUCAGUGAGUAAACAUCUGUGAUCUCGGCUAAUACAGGCCAUGGUGCCGUAUCUAUUCCCAGGGGAGAAGGAGCCGUCAAUAUUGCAUUUGAUGAAGCCCGGUUCUGGCGAUCGCCACCAGUAGUCUUUGGAAGCAAGAGGGGCAUAUGUACGCAGACCAACUCCUUGGGAAGCUGUUUGGGCAGAGAGGGUGACAAUCCGAUGCUGAGCUGAGGCAUCAAUAACAGCCAGAUUGGGGUCAGGAAGUAAGCCACGGAAAACACUGUUGUUGCGCAGCCGCCACAUCUGCCAUAAAACAUGGGUUAUCAUGGGUAGUCGAGGUAAGAGUUUCUGAUCUUUAAUUGAUUCUGCAAGCCAUUGAUCCAUGCGAGUGAUCAUAGUUGGGUGGAAGGGGAACUGCUGUUGAAAAUGUGACCAUACUCCCGCCGUCCACGGACAAUGGAAAAAAAUAUGUUCAACUGUUUCAGGCACAUUCUGAUUGCAUAUAGUGCACAUAGGGCUUGAGAUGAUAUGUCUGGUAUAUAAAUUGGACUUAGUAGCUAGGGCGUUGUGACAUGCCGACCAUAGAAAUAUGCGAAGUUUCGGUGUACUGUGCAUUUUCCAUAUGUAACGCCAUAGCUCAGGAGGUGGGUGGUAGGAAGUAGAUGCCAUAUUACCUUGCGAUAAAUUUGCUGGUGCUGUCAAGAUUCUGUAGUUACUCUUUACUGUAUACUGCCCUGUGGUUGUUGCUGUCCAAAUAAUCUGAUCAGUUGAGUGGAGAGGUCUUAAUGGAAUGUUGAGGAUUUCGUCGGCAAUAGAGUCAUCGAACAUCUGUGUAAUAAGGUGGGUCUUCCAAGUCUGGUGGAGAGGAUCAAUAAGAUCCGCCACCAACCGGGGCUCAUCUCUAUUGGCAGGUCCGCCAAGCUUACCUCUCGGUAACCAGCAGUGUUCCCUAAUGUUAAUUGAUUUUCCGUCCCCAACAGACCAUCUUGCAUUCGGUAAUAUGGCAUUCCGCCCAACUAGAAUACUUCGCCAGCCCCAGGAAGGGCGAGAACCAGGCUCUGCGAAUUCGAAAUCCUUUGAGGGAAAAUAUAAUCCUUUAAGGAUUCGGCCCCAAAGCGAUUGAGGUUGCUGUAGUAACCUCCAGGCCUGCUUGCCAAGCAUGGCAUUGUUAAAAACUACCAAAUCCCGAAAGCCUAACCCACCAGAAUUUUUGCCUGUCGUUAGCAAGUCCCAUUUCUUCCAAUGCACACCAUUCCUGUUCUUGUCAUUCCGCCACCAAAAAUUGGCAAUCCUCCGCUCAAUUGUUCGACAUAGAGACAGGGGAAGCUUAAAGAUUGACAUGGCGUAUUGCGGCAUAGCUUGGAUGAUAGACUUGAGAAGGAUUUCCUUUCCGCCUUUUGAUAGCAACAUUUCUUUCCAACCCUCCAACUUUGCAUGUACUCUUCCUAAUAGCCAGCCAAAUAAUUCUUUUUUGGAACGACCCCAUUCUGAUGGAACUCCUAGGUACUUGCCAUAACCACUCAACACCGGUACACGCAAUUCAGCAGCCAAGUUAGUUUGAAGACUAGGUGGACAGCCUUUGCUAAAGUAGAGGCCAGACUUAUUGCGGUUUAUGACUUGUCCAGAGGCGUGACAAUAUUGGUUUAAGAUAUUGGCCAUAUUCUGACAUUCAAGGAUAGUACCAUUGAGGAAGAAAACAGAAUCAUCAGCAAAGAAUAAAUGUGAGAGUGUGGGGCAUGACCUGGUAAGUGUAAUUCCGCGAAGAUGUCCCAUCGUAAGAGCGUUCUGAAUGAGGGUGGAUAGAACAUUGGCCAUUAAAAUAAAGAGAUAUGGAGAAAGAGGGUCUCCUUGUCUGAGUCCUUUUGAUGGCUUGAAAUAUGGUAGAGAUUCCCCAUUAAAUUUAACACUCAUUGUCGUCGUGGUAAUACAGUACAUCACCAUCUGAACCCACCAAGGAUGAAAUCCCAGUUUAAGAAGGUAGGCUUGAAGGAAAUCCCAUUCAACUUUGUCGUAAGCCUUCUGCAUAUCAGUCUUAAGAAUAGCUUGGAAGUGUCUUUUCCGAUGCCUCAUUUUGAAAUGAUGGAGGACCUCGUGUACAACAAAGACAUUAUCUUGUAUUUGACGGCCAGAUACAAAAGCAGCUUGCUCAGGUGAUACCAGCUGUUCUAACAUAGGUUUGAGUCGGUUGGCCAUGACUUUAGAUAUAACCUUAUAUGCAACGUUACACAAACUUAUCGGUCUAAACUGGUCAAGACUUUCAGGAUGGUGUACUUUGGGAAUCAAAACAAUAAGAGUCUUAUUGAGGUCUGGAGGGAACUUACCAUAGUGAAAAAAGUCGUUGACCAGACAGAAUAAAUCAUGAUGGAUGGUAGGCCAAUGGGUUUGGUAGAACAGACCAUUAAAACCGUCGGGGCCCGGAGCUUUUGUAGCACCCAGUUGGAAAGUAGCUUGUCGUACCUCUUCAAUCGUCACUUGGGCCAAUAAUUGUGCAUUCAUUGUGUCCGUUACAAGUGAUGAACAUUGAUCUAGGACGGGGCAAAAGUCGCGGUGGCCUGCUGAUGUAUAAAGCUGAGUAAAAUAAGCAGAAGUCAGCUCUUUUAAAUCUACUAUAUCCCUCACCCAUUCAUUGUCAGCCUUCCGAAGCAUUCCAAUCCGGUUUUUCUGCCUACGUUGAAUUGUAGUGGCGUGAAAGAACUUACUAUUUUUGUCACCCCAACGCAACCAAUUUAUUCUGGACCUCAUAGCCCAAAAUUGCUCUUCUUGCUUCCAAAUUGUCCUCAACUCAUCUUGGAUAUGAGAUACCUCAUCGUUGUCACUGUUAGAACAAUAAGGAUGAUUAAUUAGGGACUGGAGGCGUUGUUGUAAUGAUGUAAUCCGCGAGUGUCCAUUACCAAACUUGGAACGACUCCAAUGGCUUAAGGCUAUCCUUACUUUAGAUAGUUUGUGCAGGAGAUCAGAGCUUCUGGACUGAUUAGAAGGCCAAGUUUGGGAUACAAGGCAGUAAACUUCAGGAUCAUCGUUCCAAAAAGCUUCGUAAGCAAAGGUGCGUUGACGAUUUUUAUUAACCUGCACCGUAGAGAGAAGUAACGGGCUGUGAUCAGAGCCUAUUGGUGGUAAGGCAUACACUUCCGCAGCAGGAUAAAUGAGACGCCAAUCCAUAGAGCAGAGGACUCUGUCCAAUCGUUCCUUAACGAGGUUAUUUCCUUCACGACCAUUUGACCAAGUGUACAUGCAACCCUUACUCUCGACCUCCAUAAGAGCACAGUCGUCGACUACAUCCCGAAAAGAGGAAAGACGAGAACGAAUAGGGGAUCGACUGCCCACCUUCUCCCAAGGAUGAAGAAUUUCAUUAAAGUCCCCUACACAAAUUCAGGGUAGAGUAUUGAAAGCACUAAUUCUUCGAAGGGUCUCCCAAAACAGUUGACGAUUGUGAUAGGAGGGAGGGGCAUGUAGGCAAGUAAUCCUCAUAAGGCGAUCAUCACUUGAAUCCCUACAGACCAUAUCAAAAAAAUCUUCCGAAAAGCUUUCAAUUUCUAGAGACAAAGUAUCAUUCCAAAAAACUGCUAAACCACCAGCUAAACCAACAGGAUUCUGAACAAAAGAACCUUUAUAACGAAGCUUAUGCUGCAAUCUGUUGAGAACCAGCUCCCGGUUCUUAGUUUCCAUCAAAAACAAAAGAUCGGGCUUUUCUUUGGCUGACAUAGCCGUAAGGGCUUGGACUGUCAAGGGAUUGCCCAACCCCUGACAGUUCCAACAUAAAAGCUUCAUUUGUAACUUGGUGGCUGUUGAGGGCCAGCCACCAAAGCCCGAUGGAGUGCUUCAUCUGCUGCCAUUACCGGUGUUUCCUGGAGACGUGUCUCAUCUAGCUGAUCAAAUACAACACUGCCCUUAUCAUAGGGAGCGUAGCGUUUUUGUUUCUUUGCAUGUCCUGCUCUUGUAGUAGUACUGGUUUUUUUUGCUCUUCGAGAUUGCUGAAUAUCCGUUGGAAAGUCGCUAAGACUCUGUUCUAUGUCUAUUGUAGGAAUAUGACAGGAGGGGAUAGUGCUGACCUGCUGCUGCACGUUCAAUAGAUGAGGUUUAAACAGCCGGAUUGCUUCAGAAGAAUUAAUGUUAUCGUCAGAUUUGCCUUUUGCUUUGACAUGUGCAGGAAUCAAAGCCGUGGUGGUGGGCUGCUGCUGAUGAGUAACAGCGUUAGAAUGGCUGGGGAGAUGCUCUGUCACUGCAGGGGUUUGUCUUGGAAGAGCUGCACCGGUAAGUUCUUUGUCAUUAGCUACCGGUGGGGGUAAUAGGGGCGGAUGUUGUAGUAAACCUGGAGGAGUCUCGGGUAUGAUUUCCUGAGUUUGAUCCAUUUCUGGAGGGGUGUAGAAAGCGGUCCAAUAAGGACUAGAUUGAUGAACCUCUGCUUUCAACCACGGGCCAAAAGCCAAUUUAUCUUUGCCGUCCUCCUUGGCCAAAUCAAAAGGAAUGUCUAUACAAUUAGUUGCAGAGUGGCCAAGUCUGCCGCACAAGUAGCAAAAGUGGGGAAGUCGUUCGUAUCUGAAAUCCAACCAUAACAGUUUCCCAGCUAAGCGAAUCAGUUUGCCAGUUUUCAGAGGUGUACCUAGAUUGAGUACCACCCUGACUCGCCCUAUUUUAACUGUGGAACCCUCCUUGCUAUCCACUCUUACCUCCAGAAUAUCCCCGAGCUGAUUAGCCGCCUUCCUCAGAAGCUGGUCCGUCAUCCACUCUAAAGGCAAGCCGAGAAUUUGGACCCAGAAAGCACACCGAGUAAAAUCAUAGCAAUGGAGCGGAGUAUUAGGAAUCCAAGGCUUGAAAUUGACUAAGUGGCUAGAAAAAAGCCAAGGACCACCCUGUGAAAUGCGUUGGAAAUCCUUGUCCUGUUGGAACUUUGCUAAAUAUAAGCCACCUUCAUGUUGAGAGAAUUCGACCAAAGUAACUCGCCAUACUCGUUUCAUUACUUCUUGGAAUGCCUGGAAAUUAACAUUAGAUGUAGUAAUAACCUUCCCUAAAAGGGUUAGUUUGCAUUCCGCAAUUUUUUCUAUCGCAGGUUCAUCCUCCCAUGUCUCAACCUCCUGAUCAGAACAGAGGCGUCCCAAGCGUUGACACAGAGCAUUCAAACGAACUGAUUCAUCAGGAUCGUCCGAAGCCAUGACGAAACCAAGUUGAAUUGAACAGAAGGCAGUAGCAUGUAAUGCAAGUACCAAGUCACGAACAGCAACCCCAGUUACGAAGAGCCACAAUUGCCAGGGAAAUGAAGUAAUAGUAUAGAUUCAGCAAGAUAAGGCAUCGUUGGAAGUAAUUCAACUCUAUACGGUCCGUUGAUGAUCUUCGAUGAUGAAUUCCCGUACAUGCAACCAAGAAUUGGCAUUCCAGAGAUGGCAAGAUGCAGGGAUACUGGAAGCUUAACGGAAGUGGAGGCUAUCUAGCGCAGAACCCAUGGAGAUUUGCACCAGAAGAAGAGGUUGACGAAGCACGGCGUCGACUAUGUGGAGAUGCUACCAUGGAUGGUAGACGAAGCUCUGCAUGUGAGAAGAGGGAGUCCUACCAUGAAGCGGUAGAGA